rnacentral:rRNA from 1 species
AGAGUUUGAUCAUGGCUCAGAUUGAACGCUGGCGGCAGGCCUAACACAUGCAAGUCGGGCGGAAACGAUGGAAGCUUGCUUCCAGGCGUCGAGCGGCGGACGGGUGAGUAACGCGUAGGAAUCUGCCUGGUAGUGGGGGAUAGCCCAGAGAAAUUUGGAUUAAUACCGCAUACGCACCAGCUCUUUCGGGAGCGGUGGAAAGCAGGGGACCUUUCGGGGCCUUGCGCUAUCAGAUGAGCCUGCGUCGGAUUAGCUGGUUGGUGGGGUAAAGGCCUACCAAGGCAACGAUCCGUAGCUGGUCUGAGAGGAUGAUCAGCCACACUGGGACUGAGACACGGCCCAGACUCCUACGGGAGGCAGCAGUGGGGAAUAUUGGACAAUGGGCGCAAGCCUGAUCCAGCCAUGCCGCGUGUGUGAAGAAGGCUCUAGGGUUGUAAAGCACUUUCAGCAAGGAGGAAAGGGGUUCCGUUAAUACCGGAAUCCUGUGACGUUACUUGCAGAANAAGCACCGGCUAACUC